GCUGUGGCUUGGGGAGGCUGGGCCCUCAGGAAGGGGGCCUGAUUCCAGCCAUAGCACAAGCUCACUCUGACCCAGGGCUGCCUCUUCCGUUCACCCUUAUCCCAGCCAGGGAUCCCACUGUCCCUGACUAGCCAUAUAAGGCUGUGUUCUGAGCUGCUCUUCUCCCCCUUCCCACAGACUGAGAGAGGCCCCAGCAGGCCCUUCCCGUCACAGUCCUGAAAUUCUCCCCUUAGAAAGGCAUGCCACUGGGCUGAGCUUCCAGAAGAACGUCUGCCCCAGGAGAGGAGCUACCUCAGGAGAGGAGACCCCUGAGAGCCAGAGGUCAGCUUCAGGGAGCCUCUGAGCAGUGGCCCCAGGAGCUGGGCCACCCGUCCUCGGCCACAGCGGGCACUCAGUACUUGGGAGAGGUCUCUGGAUGGGGAGUCAGACCUACCAUGGGGCUCCACUGCCAGUUUCCCCCAGUGACCCGGAGCAAAGGGCCCGGUUCCCCUGUCCACACGUCAAUGUGAUCUGGAGGAAACUCGGCAAACCUCUUACCGCGGGCUGCCUGCUGACGCCGUCCUGGCAGUAGAUGACUGAGGAAAUGGCCAUUUCCAGGCUUCUGUGCUCUGCACAGAGGAGAGGGAACCAGCGGGCCUCAGGAAAGUGCUAGCACCACCCCCAGAAGGUGGGCUGAUGAGGUGAGGAAAACAGCAGGCGGGGUAGCUCCCAGGGCCGGCUGUGGCUCCCAGACGUGCAGAGGCAGGACUGCCUCCCUCCUUCCUCCCUCCGGCCCAUGGAUUUGCUCCUUCUCUGCUGCCCUGGUCUCCUUACCAUGUCGGGCACAGGGUCAGUAGCCUCUUUCAGGGCCCUGGUGCACAUCUAGAUCAGCUGAGGUCAACAGGGCACUGUCCCCGAACAGCUCCCAGCCUGAGGGAAGACAGGCAUCAUCUGAAAUGCGGGGCCCAUCUGACACUCAGCGUCGUCAGUGACCAAACCAGGAGCAUGGUGGCUGGGGCUUGGUGUCUAAGGGCCCAGCCAGAGCAGGGGGAUCCGUCUCUCAGGCAUGUUCAGCGGCAGCUUGGAGACGACGCCAAGGCUGCUGAUCCAGAGCUUCUCCUUAGGGAAGGGCACCCUCUCUCGGACAGGACAGGGCUGUGUCACUGAGAUUCUGCAGCCCGCUGGGGACAGCCUUCUGGAGCUGAGACCUGCUCCCACGCCUUCCUGGGCCCCUCAGGAGCCACAGGAUCUGGGCUGUCCCUAAGGCUGUGAGGGCCCCCUAGUCACUGCCUCCCCUGUCCUCUGAGGCCUGCUUCUUGGUGGGCACCAAGGGGUGGGGGGUGGGCCAUACCUCCCAGCUAACAUCUGAGGUCUCUCCUGAUCCAGUUGGGAGUGGUGGUGCCAGGUGAGGAGAGAAUUCUGUACAGUCACUAGGAUUUGCUGCUUUAUUUUGAUUUUCUGAAAAAGAUGUCUGUCCUGAGCCCCUCUUGCCCCAAGGCCCCAAACAGUUUUGCAUAGGAACACAACCCUAGCAGCCCUGAGAUGAGCCAUUCCACUGAGAGGGUCUGCAGACCCCGCAUGGUGGCCUUUGGUCUCAUUUCUCUAAUACCACUUAAGGUCCUGGUCAUGACCUUCCUAUCCUAAAAAAACACUGUCUUGGGAGAACAAGCUGAGUUAAAACCAGGUUAAUUAUAUACUGUAUGCGUGACCUUGGGCAAGUUACUUAAUACCUAGCUUCUGUACUACAUCACUAAAAUGGAAAGUAUCUCACCAGCCAUAAGAGAGACACAAGACAUUAGCUUCCCCUGGACACCUAAGGGUUAAGAUCGUGAAUUCUAAGAAACAUGGAGUCUUCCUAUUUCUACCUUGUUCUGAGAUCAUGCAUUAUAAAAUGGUUUUCAUUCACCUUUGGUUCCUACAGCCACCAGGUGAUACUGGGGGACCCCAGCUCAGAUGGUCUUACUGAUGAAGAAACCAAGUGACAGAGUCGUUGAGGUGUGGGCAUCUAAUUUCUCCAGCUGCAAACCAGGUGAUCAUUAAUAAAAUAAAUAGGCAGUUUGUCUUUUUUUUUUAAAUAAAAGGUAUAAUUAUUAUCAACAUAGAAAGGGAGGGCUAGAGAUCACAUAAUAUUUCAAUCAGAAAGAAGCAAAGCCGGGAUUGAAGAGCAGAUACCCUCCUAGGUAUUUUGUUUUCAUUUAAUUUUUAACGGUUUAGAGUGGUUAUUACCCCCACUGAUGGGAUAAACAGAAAUGGUCAGAGAAUUUGCAUAGGAACACAAUCCUCAGCCCUGAGAUUAGCCAUUCCACUGAGAAGCUCUGCUCAAUCUUUAUAUAAUUUAGUGGUAGAGCCUAGACCGCCUCUUGGGACUGUUGUUCUCCAAAGCCCAUGACUUUUCACGACAGGCUGCCGUAGUCUGAGGACUUCGAACCACAGCAGAGAUACAGAAGGGUGCUUAACUAGAAUUUAGGAUCCCCAGGUUCCAAUCCCUCUUCUACCAUCAAGUUGGGUCAGUUACCUGACCUCUGCAAGUCUUGGCCAAGUCAUCCUGCCCUGUCUUGGGAUGGCUGUAAAGAAUGUGCAAUGUGGUGGGUUAAAGGGUGGUCAGGUGCUGAGAGAGCAAUACACGGUCUUCCAAGAGAGAGCGAAGAACCUAUUCCUUCUCCUUACACGGCAGCAGCAGAGAACUGAGCGCUCUCCCGGAGCUCCAGUCCCCUGCACCUGUGCUGACAUCGCUUUCUGUAUGUACAUUCUUGGGUUUCAAGGACAGGGGAAGACUAGGGAACAGAGUUCACUGGCAGGGCUGGAGAAAAUGCCAGGUCUGAUCUGAGAAAGGUCUCCUGUGUUCCCAGACCUGGAAAAACAAGAAUUCCCCCAUCCCAGGCUUCUGCCAAGAUCUGUGAGGAAAAAUCAAGGGCCUCCCAAGAAAUUAUUUUUCCCUGUUCUAGAAAAUGCUUUCACCCCUCAGAAAAAUUGAAAAGGAGUACAGCCAUGUGCCCAGCAGUGGUCUUGCCUUGGGUAAAAUGGUUCCUUCAUUGUGUGAAAGUUCUGCUGGCUUAGACUCCUAGCAUGGCAUCAUCUGGAGUUUGGUUUGAUGAUAUAUGAGGGGCAAGAAUAAGCCCAACAUUACCUAUGCAAGAUGGUACAAAGAACCCACAGGGUUUCCAAGGGGGACACUGGACACAGGCAUGGGAACCCAGCAUAGGUCAAAUCUGAGAUCCUGAGAUUUAGAAAUCAUGUGGGGCCCCUUUCCUCACUCAGCUAGGGACCCUGAAAUAAGAAAACCUGUUUUUGUGAAAUCUGGGCCCUGCAUUUCCAAAAGAAACACAAAUGGCUAACAGGGUUGGGAAUGUGAUGGUUUACUUUAACAAUAUAUACAUUUUUAUGCAUUGAAUUAGCAAGGCUUUCCCCCCCCCACCCCCAUGGCAUUAGAAAUUAGGAUAGUGGUUUCCCUGUGGAGGGAGUAAGGAUGGUUGGUCACUGGAAGGGGGCAUGAUGGUAAUUUCUGAGGUGCUGGAAAUGUCCUGGUGAGUUGGCAGUGUUUACACUGUGAAAAUAUAUCAAGCUACAUAUUAACGAUGUACGCAAUUUUCUUUUUUUUUUUCCCACGCAAGAGAUUUUAUUAUCUGAAAGAGAGAGUGGCUACCCCAGAUG